rnacentral:lncRNA from 1 species
GUGUAUGAUAAUCAAUAAGUAACUCAUAGACGGGAACACCAUUACAGGUAAUUUUAUGGAGGAUUCUUCUUCUCCGUUUAUUUUUGUUCUCUUCCUCUCCAUGUUGUAUCUCUAUCUAUAUUUUUGCAUCAGUAGUGAUUCAACUAACAAAAAGAGACGACUAUGUUUAUCCAGGAACUGAUCAUCCCUUUCGAAAAAUGUAAUUCUUUUUUUUAUAAAGUUAAAUCACUUAGCAAGAAUAUAAUAUAAGAUGUGUAUGCUAAUCAAGUGCAAUUUAUUUAUUGUGCAUGAUCCUCUUCAGGUACGUCUGAGAGCCAAAGGUAAUCUCAAAGUUUUUUAAAAACUUUGAAACUCAUUGAAGUUGUCCUAUCAAUUAUAUAAUUUGUUAUCUUUUGGGGAUUGUUUACAUCUUUAAAUAUUUUUGUUAGAAUUACUUCUUUUCUCACUCAAGGCUUAGAAAAGGAAACCGUAAAUUAUCUAUGUUGUUACAAUGAAACCAAUGAUAAUAAACAGGUAAUUUAAAUCUCUCUUUUAUAUUUCAUGGCUGAUUUUUUAUUGG